GGGUGUGAGGGUGAUCUGCCUGUGACAUCUGUCACCCCAUUGAUCACCAGGGCUGAUUCCACUGAUCUGGCUGGCUAGGUGGGCGUCCCCUUCCUCCCUCACUGCUCCAUGUGCAUCUCUCCCAAAGCUGCAUGCUCAGUAGAAGAGGACAGACUUCCUCAAUAGAGACAGACAGGAGCCAUCUUUGGUAGAGGAUAUACGAGUAGCUGUGCUCCCCUGCUAGAACCUCCAAACAAGCUCUCAAGAGUACACUAGGUCCAUAAAGUCUGAGUAUAGUUACCAAAAGUUUAGUUCCAUCAGAUAAACAAUUAUC
ensembl:misc_RNA 7SK 7SK RNA